rnacentral:misc_RNA from 1 species
GAUGAAGAACGUAGCGAAAUGCGAUAAGUAAUGUGAAAUGCAGAAUUCAGUGAAUCAUCGAAUCUUUGAACGCACAUUGCGCCCCCUGGAAUUCCGGGGGGCAUGCCUGUUCGAGCGUCUCAGGGACGAACCCUCGCGCGGGUGUACGCGCGGUCGUGGCUGCGGUGGCGUGCCCGAGGCGGCGGCCACCGCGCUGGAAUCCAUGGGCGGACGCCUGCCGCGUGGCCGAGCGUGAUAUGACGCAUUGGCGCUCGCACGCGGCGAGGCUGCCAGCCCUGGCCCGUCUGUCGGGCGGGGGAGAGCAAGACACGUGAACUCCUCGAAUCAGGUAGGGAUACCCGCUGAACUUAAGCAUAUCAAUAAGCGGAGGA